GCUGAAUAGCUGAGAGGCGCACCCGGGCGGCCAGCUGGGCUCGGAGUGCAGCGGGGUUAGGAUGGACGAGGACGUGUUGCACCCUGAAGAGCCUCAUCAUCGCCUGCUCUUGAGGUUCACAGAUGAUACCUUUGAUCCAGAACUUGCAGCAACAAUAGGUGGUCCACUUUACAUCACUUUCCAGACAACUGGAAUUUGAGACAAUGUCUGUGACAGCAGUCCCUUUGUUUUCACCUGGCAUAUGUUCUCAUCAUACUGCUUGCAGUCAUAUCAUGCUGCAGACAAUGCAGGAAUCACAUGAACCUGUCCAUCCAC
ensembl:lncRNA SVIL-AS1 SVIL antisense RNA 1